rnacentral:SRP_RNA from 12 species
GGUCGGGGGCCAUCGUAUCAAGGUCUCUGGGGCCAAAGCGAUGGCCGCGCUAUCUUCGUCGCUGGCCAGGGGUUGUCAGCGAACGGCGGUGGCGCCGGUUGGCCCAACAGCGGCGGACGGG